UUUUGCCGCCUACCUGAUCCUGCAAGAGAGAAAGAGAAAAGGUCGAAAGAACAGAGAAGUUGAAGAUGAUAAGAAGGGAGAAUUUCCUCAUUGGAGUUAUGACAAGACUCAGAAAAAUUUGCAUGAUUUUAAAAGAUGAAAUAUGGUGAUUGGUCAACAAAUUUAAUAAAGCAUUUGCUAUUAUUUGA